GUGGGGAAUUUUGGACAAUGGGCGCAAGCCUGAUCCAGCAAUGCCGCGUGCAGGAAGAAGGCCUUCGGGUUGUAAACUGCUUUUGUACGGAACGAAACGGCUCUGGUUAAUACCCGGGGCUAAUGACGGUACCGUAAGAAUAAGCACCGGCUAACUACGUGCCAGCAGCCGCGGUAAUACGUAGGGUGCAAGCGUUAAUCGGAAUUACUGGGCGUAAAGCGUGCGCAGGCGGUUGUGUAAGGCAGGCGUGAAAUCCCCGGGCUCAACCUGGGAAUUGCGCUUGUGACUGCACAGCUGGAGUGCGGCAGAGGGGGAUGGAAUUCCGCGUGUAGCAGUGAAAUGCGUAGAUAUGCGGAGGAACACCGAUGGCGAAGGCAAUCCCCUGGGCCUGCACUGACGCUCAUGCACGAAAGCGUGGGGAGCAAACAGGAUUAGAAACCCGUGUAGUCC
rnacentral:rRNA from 1 species